CUUGUUUCUAAGGAAAGAAAAAUCAACUGGGCACAGUGGCACACACCUGUAAUCCCAGCAGCUCAGGAGGCUGAGACAGGAGGAUUGUGAGUUCAAAGCCAACCUCAGCGAUUUAGCAAGGCCCUGAGCAACUCAGUAAGACCCUGUCUCUAAAUAAAAUAUCAAAAGGGCUGGGGAUGUGGCUCAGUGGUAAGUGCCCCUGAGUUCAAUCCCCAGUACCCCCCCUCAAAAAAAAAAACAACUUCACUCUCAUAUUUAGUACAGAUUAUAAUAAAUGGAGGCCCUGUUAAGUGCUGAUGAAUAGGUAUACAAAUAAAGCAGAUGUGUGUGUAAGUUUAAUUGGAGUUUGAAAACUGGUGGUAGAUGAGCACGUGGAGUGUGUAGUCCUAUUGAAAUCAGACCAGAGACAUGCAGGGAGAGGCAACUGGUGAUGAGGGAGAAAAUGAUAUCACUAAUAUUCACUCAGUACUUAACUGGGAGGCUCCUCAAUUCCCAGGGCCUAAUAUGCAAAGAUGGACUAGAUCCCUAGUUUCUGUCUUUAUGUCAUUUCCAUUCUAAUCACUAAUCACCAAAAAGAAAUUCACAAGAAGGUAUUCAGUUAUCUCCCAGGUGAGAUAGAUGCAAUGGAGGAAAUAUGCAAGGUGUGUGGGAGAGGAUUUCUCUAAUGGUGAGUCAGAGGAGCCUACUCUGAGGUUGUAGUAUUUAUGUGGAGCCUUGGGAAGGUGGAGGAGAAAGCCAGUUGCUUUGGAAUGGUCUCUGAUUACAUUAAGCAAGGGAGGAAGUCUGGGGAGGAAAUCUAUGAAGCUCAAGUGCUCCCCAGAUGCUUUUGCUUUAGCUACUGGUGCUCAUUCAUCUCUCCCCUGGGCUUCCUUGCACAACCUGUCCAGCUUGUUUCAUGUGUCUUCAAUGCUUAACAAAGAAGCAGGCAGAAACCAUCACUAGAAUUUGAGUGAAUGCAUUUGGGGUUGAGCUUUGCUUGACUUGGAGGUUCCUAGAUAUCUCAAGGUUGCUGUGACAGUGAUUUGAAGGGGAUGAACACAGCAGUGGUUUUCAGGAUGCAUUAAACAGGGACAGCUGGGAAGGACUCUGUCCUCUCUGCCCUGAGCACUGCUGGUUGUCCUGCUAAUGCUUUUUUGGCUUGAAGUUACCAACCAGGUUAGGAGGUGGAGUGAGAGUUCAGGCCUUUGCCCAACACAGGUGAGUGGACAGGUGGCAUUAGCAGACUGGAUGGGAAGAGCAUUAAAACAGCAAGAGCUUUUACAGCCUUGAAACUGUAAUUGGUGAUUCAGCUGGCAAGCCACUGCUGUCAUACAGUGUGCAGUGCCGGGUCAAGUGUGGCCACCAUCAUCAUCUGUAUGGUGCUGGGGAUUGAACCCAGGUUCUUGUGCACACAAGGCAAGCAUUCUACUAAUUGAGCUAUACUUCAAGUUGACUUGAACGAUGUGGUCAACUCCCAGGGUCUGGUUAUCUUGCUAUUCAGUGAGUUCUUUUUGCUCUCACAACUGAGAGGGUUUUCAGUUACAACUAAACUGUAGAUACACAGGUACACAGUAAGCAAUAGUAACUAGAGCUUUGUAGUCAAAAGUCCUGAGUUUCUCUGCUCCAGCCUCUGCUGAUUCGUAGGCUGGGAACCUUGGGAGCAGUUACCUACUCUCUCGGAAACUGUUUCCUCCUCUGUACAAUGUACUUGUGACACCAGUCAGUUCACUUAACUCUCUAAACUUCAGUUGUUUUUGUAAAAUAAUUCUAUAUUUAGCAUUUCAUAUUAACAUAAACCAACGUAAGCAUUAAUAUGUAAUAAAAUAAUGGUACCAUAUGAGCUUUAAAGGGGGGUUGUGAGGACAAAAUAAAACAAUGCUUUUGAGACCCAAAUGAAUAACCAUUAUGAUUAGCUUGGAAAAUCUUUGGUCAUAUAUAUGUUCAAAAGUCUUUUAUUAUCAUCAUCAUCAUCAUCAUCAUCAUCAUGUAUAUGGUGCUGGGGAUUGAACCCAGGUUCUUGUGCACACAAGGCAAGCAUUCUACUAAUUG
rnacentral:lncRNA from 1 species